UACGAAGGGGGCUAGCGUUGCUCGGAAUUACUGGGCGUAAAGCGCGUGUAGGCGGUUGUUCAAGUUGGGUGUGAAAGCCUUGAGCUUAACUCAAGAAAUGCAUUCAGGACUGGAUGACUAGAGGACCGGAGAGGAUAGUGGAAUUCCCAGUGUAGUGGUGAAAUUCGUAGAGAUUGGGAAGAACACCAGUGGCGAAGGCGGCUAUCUGGACGGUUUCUGACGCUAAGACGCGAAGGCGUGGGGAGCAAACAGG
rnacentral:rRNA from 1 species